UUGUCGGCAUUUCUUUUUUUUUUUCUCACAUUAUACAUGUUUUUUAGUUACAGAGUUUAAUUCAAUGUAGUAUAAGUUAGCCGAAACCUAGAGAUUAAGCUUUGACUUUUUGAAUUCGCUACUGUGAAGGGAAUGAAGAUGGAAAUCAUUGAUGUAAGGAAAGCAGAUGAGGAAGCAGAGUCAAGAGGGAGGAAAAGAAGAACAAAUAUGCCUCAUUCGCUUUCUGGUUUUUGGAGCUUUAGAGGAACCAUUCAUAUGUUAGUAGUCUUGGCAAUUUAGCCUUCUUGGAGAGAAUUUGCAAAAAUUAUUGUUCCUCAAGAUUUGGGGAAUUAACACAUGGAGCUGGAGGUUAAUUUCAAUGGCGAUGGAACCAAAUUUCUACUCAAGUUGCAAUGGUACAUCUACUCAAGUUGUUUCAGCAUUUAAAACUUGAACCAAAUUUCUUUUCUUUUUUCAUAUUCAAGAUUAUAAGGCAUGACACUUGUUGACAUAUUUGAGCCAAGUUGAUUUCCCCCAUUUUGUGUAUUUCUUGAAGUCAACAUUAUAUUUCAGAAA